rnacentral:tRNA from 1 species
AGACGAAAGUAACACCUAUUGGUUUCGGCCCAAUUGCAGAGAAUAAUCCCUCUUCGUCUU